rnacentral:misc_RNA from 1 species
AAGUCGUAACAAGGUCUCCGUUGGUGAACCAGCGGAGGGAUCAUUACAGAGUUGCAAAACUCCCAACCAUUGUGAACCUACCUCACCGUUGCUUUGGCAGGUUUCCGGAUGGGCGUCAGCCUUGAAGGUCAGGUCGAGAGACGCCUGCCAAAGACACUUAUCCACCCUUUUUUAUUGUCUGAAUCUUGUUUAUAACAAAUAAAAUAAAACUUUCAACAAUGGAUCUCUUGGCUCUG